AUCAUACUCCCUCCGUCCGAAAAUACUUGCCAUCAAAAUGAACAAAAAGGGAUGUAUCUAGAACUAAAAUACAUCUAGAUACAUCCCCUUUUAUUUAUUUUGAUGACAAGUAUUUCCGGACGGAGGGAGUACUUA
rnacentral:pre_miRNA from 1 species